rnacentral:rRNA from 1 species
GACGAACGCUGGCGGCGUGCCUAAUACAUGCAAGUAGGACGCAGUUGCGAACGUGUGAGUUACUCGUCGGUAACUACAUAUUAGAGGGGGAUAACUAUUGGAAACGAUAGCUAAUACCGCAUCCAAGUAGAUGGCCCUGCGUUGUAUUAGCUAGUAGGUAGGGUAAUGGCCUACCUAGGCAACGAUACAUAGCCGACCUGGGAGGAGUAUCGGCCAAACUGGGACUGAGACACGGCCCAGACUCCUACGGGAGGCAGCAGUAGGGAAUCGUCGGCAAUGGGGGGAAGCCUGACCGAGCAACGCCGCGUGAGUGAAGAAGGGUUUCGGAUCGUAAAGCUCUGUUGUUAAGGAAGCGGUACCUAAACAGAAAGGGACGGCUAACUACGUGCCAGCAGCCGCGGUAAUAC